rnacentral:rRNA from 1 species
ACUUCCGUUAAUUGAUUAUGACGUACUUGUACUGAUUGAGAUUUUAACACGAAGUGAGUGGCGAACGGGUGAGUAACACGUGGGUAACCUGCCCAGAAGUAGGGGAUAACACCUGGAAACAGAUGCUAAUACCGUAUAACAGAGAAAACCGCAUGGUUUUCUUUUAAAAGAUGGCUCUGCUAUCACUUUUGGAUGGACCCGCGGCGUAUUAGCUAGUUGGUGAGGUAAAGGCUCACCAAGGCAGUGAUACGUAGCCGACCUGAGAGGGUAAUCGGCCACAUUGGGACUGAGACACGGCCCAGACUCCUACGGGAGGCAGCAGUAGGGAAUCUUCCACAAUGGACGCAAGUCUGAUGGAGCAACGCCGCGUGAGUGAAGAAGGGUUUCGGCUCGUAAAGCUCUGUUGUUAAAGAAGAACGUGGGUAAGAGUAACUGUUUACCCAGUGACGGUAUUUAACCAGAAAGCCACGGCUAACUACGUGCCAGCAGCCGCGGUAAUACGUAGGUGGCAAGCGUUAUCCGGAUUUAUUGGGCGUAAAGCGAGCGCAGGCGGUCUUUUAAGUCUAAUGUGAAAGCCUUCGGCUCAACCGAAGAAGUGCAUUGGAAACUGGGAGACUUGAGUGCAGAAGAGGACAGUGGAACUCCAUGUGUAGCGGUGAAAUGCGUAGAUAUAUGGAAGAACACCAGUGGCGAAGGCGGCUGUCUGGUCUGCAACUGACGCUGAGGCUCGAAAGCAUGGGUAGCGAACAGGAUUAGAUACCCUGGUAGUCCAUGCCGUAAACGAUGAUUACUAAGUGUUGGAGGGUUUCCGCCCUUCAGUGCUGCAGCUAACGCAUUAAGUAAUCCGCCUGGGGAGUACGACCGCAAGGUUGAAACUCAAAAGAAUUGACGGGGGCCCGCACAAGCGGUGGAGCAUGUGGUUUAAUUCGAAGCUACGCGAAGAACCUUACCAGGUCUUGACAUCUUCUGACAGUCUAAGAGAUUAGAGGUUCCCUUCGGGGACAGAAUGACAGGUGGUGCAUGGUUGUCGUCAGCUCGUGUCGUGAGAUGUUGGGUUAAGUCCCGCAACGAGCGCAACCCUUAUUACUAGUUGCCAGCAUUAAGUUGGGCACUCUAGUGAGACUGCCGGUGACAAACCGGAGGAAGGUGGGGACGACGUCAAAUCAUCAUGCCCCUUAUGACCUGGGCUACACACGUGCUACAAUGGAUGGUACAACGAGUCGCGAGACCGCGAGGUUAAGCUAAUCUCUUAAAACCAUUCUCAGUUCGGACUGUAGGCUGCAACUCGCCUACACGAAGUCGGAAUCGCUAGUAAUCGCGGAUCAGCAUGCCGCGGUGAAUACGUUCCCGGGCCUUGUACACACCGCCCGUCACACCAUGAGAGUUUGAACACCCAAAGCCGGUGGGGUAACC